GUCAACACAUUUGAAGUUCCACAAGCAAUCUCAACUAAAACAGACCCUGUUGACUGAAUCGCAGAUUGGGUCACCUGGUGCCCAAACAGGGACAGCAAGAAUGAGAGACCCCUGUGAGGGACGUUACUCGAAGAAGGGUCAACCGAGCGGGAACUUGCCACAUCGAGACUGCUUUAUUGCUUCAUCUGAAGGAAGACCCCGGACAA